GUUGAUUCCAGGCAGGGGCGGGGCUACACUAUGAAGGGGGAGGAGCCAUCCGGCGCGUCAUUCACACAGAGACAGUUCCAGCAUUUCUUUAUUACAGUAUGGAACCAAACUAAACUGUAUCUGAACUUUGGGUUAGGAAUUAACUGCAUUUUCAUAUUUGUAAAUUAGUCUUUUUGAGAACAAUCUGUGUUUCAUGUGAAAAAGGUGUUGAUAAUUAAUAUUUAGACUGAUUCUCCAGCUGCCUGUGAUAUAUACCUCACUGCUGCUGCUCGAAUAUAUAACCUAAAAUACACACUUCAGUACAGCUUUGCUUCAUUACAAGCGUAAAAAACCCAUUUGCUCGUCUGUUUGACCAGACGGCUAUAGAGAGAGCAGGUCCUGACCGAGGAGAGGGACACUGAUGAUGAUGAUGAGGAUGAUGAGGAUGAUGCGGGUCUUCUCAGGUUUCUGAACGAGAGAACAUGAAAGCAUGCAUGCCAAAGGAACUGGAAACGGUGGAGAUGUUCAGGAGAGCUCACACGAGACUUCCUCUUUAAUGACUUCAUUCCUUCAGAAAGUUCACAUGUACAAAAUUGCAGAGAAUUUACAAAUCAUUUCUCAAAAACACAGUUGUCAUGUGCUAAAAUGAGCUGAACAACCGCAGAGGAAACAAGAGGAUUUUUUUGUGUUGUUUUCAAAUAUAAAAAAAUAUUCCUCUGAAUGAUGGACUGAAUAUGACCGAAGCUCAGAUUAUACUCUUACCUUCAUCAGUUCUCUACUCACAGACAUUCAACAUUAAACUCUAUUCGUUGCAGCAGAGAAACUCUGUAUUUAUUCUGUAUUUUGGAUUAUAUUUCAAGCUUUAAGCACACCGUCAGCUGAUCACUUCACCUAAAGCUCUCAUAGGUUCAGCCAGUUCUUAAAAAUCUCUUCAUAGAAAAAAACAAAAAAAAAGUCCCAAGCAGUUGAUUUUUAUCAUCUCGCAUCAUCUGAAUAAUGUUUUCACUAAAAUUAACAAUCUUGAAUAUAAUAUAGGUUUAUCAAUAUACAUGUUUCUAUAAUGUGUGAAGGUCACAGGGUCGCGUGUGUGUUAAACGUCACACACAGAGCGUGUCUUCUCCGUGAACAUGUGCCCGAGCCCCACUUCAGGCAGAUACUGAAUUCAACUGCAUCGCCUUCCUCAUCAAUUAAAACAAUGACUGACCAACACAGACAGACCUGUGACAAUAACCACACUAAUUAUAAAGUGCUCAUUCUGAAUAGCACUAAUUACAAAGGUCGUAAGAAAUUCAUAAGAAAGCAUUCUUCUACAUUUUUGUUUUUUAGUUCAAGGCGAUACAUUAGAAAGGAUCUGCGCUCGGAGCCUCACACACAGCAGCUCGGCGUCUGGAUCACUUGGAGAUCUGCUGCUGCAGGUGCAGGAGGAACUCGUAGUAGGAGAGAGCGGAUUCACUGACAUCCUCGAUCAUGUUCUGCAUGAACUCAGCCUUGAGCGGAGACUCGUCUCUGAAACCAAAGAGAGCAGCGUCAGACUCUCGUCGUCAUUCAGACCGCAUGAAUUUUUUUUUUUAAUGAAGCGUGUUCUGACCUGAUGACGUGCAGGAUGGGGUGGAACGGCCGCUGCUCUCUCAGCCAGUCGACGAACGCUCGCAGUCGUGAUGAUCUGGCCGUAAGAGCAGCGAUGGCCUGAACAUCAGCUCCAGCGAAGAUGUCCGACAGAGAGUUGACCACCGGCAGACACAGCGUGUGCACACGGAUCCUCCGCUCUCCUGCAACAGCACAGAAGAGCACAUCGAGCGUCACAUGAUCAGUCGAGCGUCACAUGAUCAGUCGAGCGUCACAUGAUCAGUCGAGCGUCACAUGAUCAGUGGAGCGUCACAUGAUCAGUCGAGCGUCACAUGAGCAUUCGAGCGUCACAUGACACGUCUGUGUCACAUGAUUAGUCGAGCGUCACAUGACACGUCACAUGAUCAGUCGAGCGUCACAUGAUCAGUCGAGCGUCACAUGACACGUCACAUGAUCAGUCGAGCAUCACAUGAUCAGUCUGCACGUCACAUGACACAUCACAUGAUCAGUGGAGCGUCACAUGACACGUCACAUGAUCAGUCGAGCGUCACAUGAUCAGUCGAGCGUCGCGCACCUUUGCUGGCGGUGUAGAGCAGCGCGGCCUGGAAGGACACGGUCUGCAGGUCCAGCAGGUUCUCCUCGAUGCUCAUCUGCACGGCGAAGCCGGCGUCGGGGUUCACGUUGGGCAGAGACAGCAGGUCGGUGGAGCGCACGAAGAAGUUCCCGUGGAAGGUGUGUAUGGACAGACCUGCAGACGACAGAAGAACACGUCAGUGUUCAGCAGGGCUGGACUCAGACCGACGCCUCACUCCACACACCUUUAGUGCAGCGGAUCCUCAUCACGGCCUCGAAGCCGAUCUUGCGCGUCAGGUAUCUCUUCAGAUCCUUCUGGAGGCGCUCCGUCUGAGGCGGGUUGUGCUGCUUGUGGUAUGAAGGGUAGAAAUAGACGCUUCCGGCCGAGUAUCUGGAUAUACAGCCUUCAGGAGGAGACGAAGGAUCGAUCGUUAGAGUUUAUACACACACAAACAUCACUGGAUCAAUCAUGUUUUAGAGUCUCAAAUCUGAUCAUCAGGAUCUUUUGAGGAGCGUUUGUUUCCAGAAGCUUUACUUUCACUGUUCCUCAGCGGAGGAAUGAUCUUCACAAGCCUCCAGAACAUCUCACAUCUUCUGAGGAGCCUUUAUUUCUU
ensembl:lncRNA